AUCCGGAGGGGGCUAGCGUUGUUCGGAAUUACUGGGCGUAAAGGGCGGGCAGGCCGUCCGUUAAGUCGUUUGUGAAAAUCCGGGGCUCAACCCCGCGAAAUGCAGACGAUACUGGCGGACUAGAGACCGGUAGAGGCUAGCGGAAUUCCUGGUGUAGCGGUGGAAUGCGUAGAUAUCAGGAAGAACACCUGUGGCGAAGGCGGCUAGCUGGGCCGGGUCUGACGCUGAACCGCGAAAGCGUGGGGAGCAAACAGGAUUAGAAACCCCUGUAGUCC
rnacentral:rRNA from 1 species